rnacentral:lncRNA from 1 species
AGCUCAGACCAACUAAAUAAGAAUCUGUGGAGGUAUCAGUAUUUAAAAUCUAAUCAGGUGAUUUCAAUGGGUAGAUAAUCCUGAGAACCACUAUGAGGGCUUUCUGAUCCUUAUGAAAUCUUUCUAAGAAUAAAAAUAUCAUCGGAUCAUUAUGCUCCCGGAAGAAUUCACUUUGUAUAAAAGUCAAAACCUUAAGACACAGGAACAAAUCACUAAAUACUCUUGGGAAAGAACUCAAUGCGGGCAGAGUAGCCUUCUCUUAACCACCCCGGUCUAAACUUCCUGUGAUCAUGCAAAUGUCUGAUCUCAUCUCUUUCUCUGUUAAGCCUAAAAUAACUUAUCCAUUUAGAGAUCUCUGUGCUGGAGGAAAAUGUCUUUCAGUGAAGUGUGUGCCUGGGUUUGGCCUCCCCAGUUCGUGCCCUGCAGCCAAACAUCAGGACAUGAAGAAGGAUGCCAGGACACAGGGGUUUGUUGUUUCAGACUUUUUUUGCUUUUGAAUCUGACUCUGAACUCAGACCCAGCUAAUGCUUCCCUCUCUAUUCCCCUCCACCCCCCCCAUCUGUUUAUUUCCCUGGGGAAUGUGCUGACAGCCUGCCCUUUGGUGCUGAAUUCCCAGAGGCUGGGCAUUUGGGUGAGGAAUUCCAGAAGUGGGCAGUGGCUGGUUCUGCCCCCACCUGCUAGUUCACAGCUGGCUUCCCACUAGGGACAGAGAUUCUUCCAGAGUCCUGGUCCUCAUUUUCUCCCUCCUGAUUGCCAGAGGUGGUGGUGAAGUCUUGGCCUUAGGUCAACUCCGACUGGGAGCAGGUCCCUCCUAGGGAUGUUCCAUCAGAAAACUUCCAGGAAUGAAGGAAAAUGUGGGAGAAGGAAGCCAAAAGACCAGGAGAAAAGAGCCAGGAAUGUCUAGGUGGAGAUGGAGAUCUCCAGGAGUAAGGAGAGGCUUAUACCUGAUGAUGCACCACUGCAACUGGAGUCUGCUGGUCUGGAAGCUUCUUGACCCACUGGAGAGAUACUUCCACUGAAGGACAUGAUAAAAUCCUACAGAACUGGGACUGCCACUGGUGACGUAAUAAGUGCUGAGGCUCCAGGGUCUUGGCAAAGGAGCUUGAUGUUGAUGUUGAGGUAUAUUGGUGGCAGUUAUGUUCACCAUUUGCCCCGAGUUUGCAAAGUGGUGAGGAAUAACCUCUAGCAAGAGUAGCAGAGGGAACACAAGAGGAGUAUCAUCGAGAGAUCAUGGAUUCGAUGCUGAGAAACAAGUUUGUAAAUAGCUACACAACACAGUAUCUGCAGGAUGCACGCCUUUGGUUGUGUCCCUGCUGGGAGCAGGUGAGUUGUGUGCAGCUGUGUGUUUGAGAGGGGUUAUAAUCUUUCCAGUGUUGCGCAGAACCUUGUAAUAUGUAUACUACUAUAAAAGAAUAAUUACAACUAACUCAUUCUUUGGGGUGAGCUGUGAGGACAGAAGGGUGUGUUGCAGGUGUGCAGGCAGGGGUCUGCUGUGUUCCACAUUCUUCUCGAGCUGAAACUAUCUGGCCUUCAGCCACCUGCUCUGAAAUGGAGCCCUUGGCUGGCCUUUGCACAGGAGGAACCACUGACUGGGUCAGGACAACCAAUCUCCACACUGGUCUUUUUUUUUUUUUUUUUUUUUUUGUUUUUUUGUCUUUUCUUGAGCCACUCCUGCGGCAUAUGGAGGUUCCCAGGCCAGGAGUCUAAUCAGAGCCGGCCUACACCAGCACCACAGCAACGCGGGAUCCGAGCCAUGUCUGUGACCUACACCACAGCUCACGGCAAUGUGGGAUCCUUAACCCACUGAGCAAGGCCAGGGAUCGAACCCACAACCUCAUGGUUCCUAGUCGGAUUCGUUAACAACUGUGCCAAAAUGGGAACUCCCUCCACACUGGUCUUAACAUAGGCUGGGAUGAAAAAAAUGACCUCAAUAAAUAGAUUUUCUUUCUUAGAAAUCUGAACUGAAUGUACAAAAAGAAUUUGCUAUUAGGAAGUAGAAGGUGUGAGGAGGUAGCUGAGUCACAUUGAUGUCUGGGUGCUAGUAAAUGCAGACAAUCCUUCCUUCCUGGAGCUAUGAGGCCAUGAUGGCUCGUGUUUCUGGAUAUGCAUUUGUGAUGCUUGGCUUUGUGUCACCUUGGCUGGGCUGUAACACCCAGUUAUUUUCAAAUUCUAAUCUAGGUUUGUUAUGAAGGUAUUUUGUAGAUGUGGUUAAAAUCUACAAUCAGCUGAAUUUAAGUUAAGAGGAUUCCCCUCAAAUAAUGUGGUUGGGGAGUUCUCACCGUGGCGCAGUGGGUUAAAUAACUGUCUUCAGUGGCUUGGGUUGCUACAAAGGUGCGGGUUUGAUCCCCAGCCGUACACAGUGGGUUAAAGUACCCAUUGUUGCCACAGUUGCAUCGUAGACUGUAGCUGUGGCUCAGAUUCAAUCCCUGGCCCAGGAAUUUCCAUAUGCUGUGGGUGUGGCCUAAAAAAAAAAUAACGUCAUUGGGCCUCAUUCAUUGGGUUGAAGACAUUAAAAGCAAAAGUUGGGGUUUCUCAGAGAAGAAAUUCUGCUCAAGACAGCAGCAUGAACUCCUGCGACUAUUGGAGAACACUGACUGAUACCCCAUGAGAGUCAGUCUUCUUCAUCACUCCAUGGCACUUGCAUCAAAGAGCUCUUCUCUCUGACUUUGUUCCUUAAAAUCAAAAGAACCUAGACAGAAAACUCAGCAGUAUCCAAUACUUUUGUGAGAUUGUGGUUCAUAGUAUUGGGAGGCAGUGAUGCAGUCUAUAGUGAAUGCUUGGUGUACAUAUGGAUUCUCAGGUUCUCCAAGUACUUUCAGGUUCCUCCAAGCCUCCAGGAAUUGGGAAGCACAGGUUGACCUAUGCUGUCCUAGGCAUGGAGUAUCAUUAGCUGCCUUUGCCCUGCACACCAGCACAGUAUGAAACAGAUACAAGGUUCUAGGAAGCAAUCCUAUUCUUCCAGAUUUAAUUAGUGCAGCCUGCUUGAUCUUGUUGGGAGAAUGAGCAGCCCAACCUAUGGUAGAGCAGACAGGGACUUUAGAAUACAAUAGGUAGGUCCCCAAAGAUACUCCCAUUCUGAAUUCUCCCUUAUACCUCUCCCUUAUAUCUCCACUGGAGAUAUGCCUCUGCCUUCCUGUAUAAACCUCAAACUCAUCCCUUCAACUCUACUCCACCCUGUAGGUAGCUGCGCUGCCUGGAUCAGCCCUUUAUUGCACAUGGCUUAUUCUCUGAUUUAAAAAAAUCAUACACAAAAUGUAGGAAAAAAUGAUCACUGAUGGCUGGCAGGCUGAAGGAAGAGAAGGCAAGGCAUGGGCUCCUACUCUGGGUGGGAUCAAGCCCUAGGCACUAGAAUCCUUUGGGAAGAGGAUUAGAGGUAGAUGUUGGGGUGAUGGGAGCAAGAGCCAUCAGAAAAGGAGGGCCCAGGAAGACAAAUUUUACCUAUUUUAUUUCCCUCUUCAGGCUUUGAAGAAGCCAGCACAGAGUUUCAUGCUCAAUUACAAUAAUCAUAUUGAUUGUAAUGAUUGGCAUUCUUCUCCUUAUUGGCCUUUUCUCCUUAUUGCUUAUAUUAAUCCUUUACAAAAAGGCUUUAUUAGUCAUUUUAAGAAACAAAUACAUUGAGAAACUUGCUGUUUUGUAAGGGAGAUAUGACAGCCUGCAGUGGUAGGAAAGAGUCCAGUUUUGGAGUUGGACUCACUUGUAUUUCACUUUAGGCUCUGUCACUGGUUGUGAGACAUCGGUCAAUUUACUUAACCUCUAUGAACUUGUUUCUUCAUCUAUAAAACUGUGAUAAUAAUACCUACCCCGCAGGAACUUUAUUCAGACUCAUGGUGGGUAUAUGCAGAGGGCUUCAUGUGAUGUCUGGAAGCUCUGUCACACUGCCUCACACUCUGGAAUAAUGGCAGAGGAGUAAGGAGCCCAUACAAUGUUGCAGGUGAUGCACUAAACACGUUAGCUCAUUUGACACAGAACCAGGUCCUCUUGGCCUUCAUUCUCCCUGCCACUCUCCCCACCUAGGCCUGCGUCAUUUCUAAGAAAGGAUUGCUGUGAGGGAAGCAGAAUACAGGACUAACUCCUCUCCUUAAGAAUUAAUGACCUGCAGUUGAUUUCUAGUUUCAUGCCAUUGUGGUCAGAGAAGAUACUUGAAAUAACCACAGGAAAAGAAAUGAGAAAAAACUUACUGCAUGGAGACUAAACAACAUGCGGUUGAAAAACCAAUGAGUCAAUGAGGAAAUCAAGAAGAAAAUUAAAAAAUACCUUGAGACAAAUGAUAAUGAAGACACAACCACUCAAAAUCUAUGGGAUGCUGCAAAAGCAGUGCUUAGAGGGAAAUUCAUGGCAAUACAGGCCUUCCUCAAAAAAGAAGAAAAUUCUCAAAUGGACAAUUUAACCCAACACCUAAAUGAAUUAGAAAAAGAAGAACAAACAAAACCUAAAGUCAGCAGAAGGAAGGAAAUCAUAAAGAUCAAAGAGGAAAUCAAUAAAAUAGAGAUUAAAAAAAAUAGAAAAAAAUCAAUAAAACCAAGAUCUGGUUCUUUAAAAAGGUAAACUAAAUUGACAAACCUCUGGCUAGACUCACCAAGAAGUGAAGAGAAAAAACCCAAAUAAACAAAAUAAGAAAUGAAAAAGGAGAGGUUACAACAGAUACUACAGAAAUAAAAAAAAAAAAAA